UCUAUUUACUUUGAUGUUGGCUGUUGGCUUGCUGUAUAUUGCCUUUAUCAUGUUUAGUCUGUUUAUAGACUCACAGACAUUCCUAACUCCGGUUCCAGUGCCCUGAUGCCUCUUCAUCUGCAAGUAUUGUGCACAUGUGGUGCACCUAUGUACACUCAGGCACACUGACACAGACACAAAACAUAACUUCAGUUUGUCUUCCUGGGCCAUGGUCAUUUGUAUCUGGUUUCAGAGUAAACCCUUUCCUUCUCUUGGGAGUGGGAACUGCUCUUCACAGAUGCCCUCGCCUCCUCUCCAUCUUCUCAGUUAAUUAUAGAACCCACAACACUGGCAUCAAACGAUUCUCGCCGUCACAAAUUCUAAUUAUUUGGAUCAGAAAUCUCAAUUAACUCAGGGGAUUAUAUUUAUGGAAAUUAGCUCUUAACAUACAUUAAAUGUUUCAUGUUUUAUGA